AUUGAACGCUGGCGGCAGGCCUAACACAUGCAAGUCGAACGAGUGGCGGACGGGAGAGUAAUGUCUGGGAAACUGCGCGGUGGAGGGGGAUAACUACUGGGAACGGUAGCUACUACCGCAUACCAGCGGCUGUGCCGAAGUGGGAUUGGCUAGUAGGUUGGGUAUCGGCUCACCAAGGCGACGAUCCCUAGUUGGUCUGAGAGGAUGAACAGUCACACUGGAACUGAGACACGGUCCAGACUCCUACGGGAGGCAGCAGUGGGGAAUAUUGCACAAUGGGCGAAAGCCUGAUGCAGCCAUGCCGCGUGUAUGAAGAAGGCCUUCGGGUUGUAAAGUACUUUCAGUGAGGAGGCGUUACUCGCAGAAGAAGCACCGGCUAACUCCGUGCCAGCAGCCGCGGUAAUAC
rnacentral:rRNA from 1 species